CGCACAGUAAACGAUGUGCACUAGGUGUCGGGCAGUCAAUGUUCGGUACCGCAGCAAACGCGUUAAGUGCACCGCCUGGGGAGUAUGCCCGCAAGGGUGAAACUCAAAGGAAUUGACGGGGGCCUGCACAAGCGGUGGAGCAUGUGGUUUAAUUCGAUGAUACGCGAGAAACCUUACCAGGACUUGACAUGGACAGGAAUGGUCGUGAAAGCGAUCAGCUUUUCGGAGUCUGUUCACAGGUGC
rnacentral:rRNA from 1 species